AGUGAACGCUGGCGGUAGGCCUAACACAUGCAAGUCGAACGGCAGCACAGUAAGAGCUUGCUCUUACGGGUUGCGAGUGGCGGACGGGUGAGGAAUACAUCGUAAUCUACUUUUUCGUGGGGGAUAACGUAGGGAAACUUACGCUAAUACCGCAUACGACCUACGGUUGAAAGCAGGGGAUCUUCGGACCUUGCGCGAUUGAAUGAGCCGAUGUCGGAUUAGCUAGUUGGCGGGGUAAAGGCCCACCAAGGCGACGAUCCGUAGCUGGUCUGAGAGGAUGAUCAGCCACACGGGAACUGAGACACGGUCCAGACUCCUACGGGAGGCAGCAGUGGGGAAUAUUGGACAAUGGGCGCAAGCCUGAUACAGCCAUACCGCGUGGGUGAAGAAGGCCUUCGGGUUGUAAAGACCUUUUGUUGGGAAAGAAAAGCAGCAGGUUAAUACCCCGCUGUUCUGACGGUACCCAAAGAAUAAGCACCGGCUAACUUCGUG
rnacentral:rRNA from 1 species